CUAAAAUGCACGUACAUGAGACAUCUCAAGUUUUAUAAAUUUUCGUUUCUUGGAAUCUUGCAGAGCAUUUCUUUUCUCUAGUGAAAGGAGUAGGUCCGGUAAGGACCGAUUUUGGCCUCAUAUUUCAGGUUCAUCUUACGAAAGAUUUUGACCACUUUUUAAGCACUUAAGUGUCUAUUUCAUUUGAAUCAAUUAAUUUAUGUGAAAGAUUUUAACUGAUUUAGUCAUUAAAAACGACCCGAUUCAAGCUCAAAUAUGAAAAGACAAAUCUACCAAAUAUGCCGAAAAAUGUCACUUUUCAGAUGGUUUUUGUCAAAAACGAAAGUGGCCGCAUCCGUGUUCAUCCUUAACCUUUAUAUAUGUUAUGUAUUAUUAUAAAAUACAACUUACAUUUCAAUAUUAUGGAUGAACACGAAUGCGGCCACUUUCGUUUCACACGAAAACCGUCUGAAAUUUAACUAAAAUGCUAGAAUUGUGAAGAUUUCAGUAAUUUAACAUGACUUAAUGGUGCUAGUACCGA
rnacentral:lncRNA from 1 species